AAAGAAUCGGGUUUGAUUCUUGAUUUCUAAUUGUAAGGAACACUUCCUUUCUAAAUCGAAUAGACCCAAAUAUACCAAUUAUAAAAUACAAUUUUUUCAAUUUUUUCUUACGAAGUUUGAAUUUCUUUUUUCUUUUUACCAUUUUAUAGCGAAAUGCAUUCAUCUUGCCGCCUUAAACUAUGGAGCGUUUUAGCUUCGGAAAAGGGUGGAAACUUCCCCAAUUCUUUUCUAAAUGACUUAGAAAUACUUAACUCCGCGACUAACUGGUGGCCUAUACUUAAUGACGUAGCAUUUUUCUACUGAAACACGUAGCAAUCUCUUAUUGGAACAAAAAUAGAUACUAUUAAAAUCCACUUAGCUGACCCGACCCAAU
rnacentral:lncRNA from 1 species